ensembl:ncRNA R12C12.13 ncRNA
CAACGAAAAUCGAAGAAAUAAAAACUUGCACUUAUUUUUGUCUUAAAUUUCAAUUUUUCUUCUGCUUGUUGAGUAAUUUUUCAGUUCUCAGUCUAAAUUACUUGCUAAUUAUCUUCAUUUCAGUCUGCAUGAAUACUAAUAAUCGAUUUUUCGCAUUUUUUU